rnacentral:tRNA from 1 species
GCGGGUGUAGUACAAUGGUUAGUACGUAUGCUUGCCAAGCAUAAGACGGCGGUUCGAUUCCGCUCAUCCGCU